rnacentral:lncRNA from 1 species
UGUUAAUUUUUCUUAUGUUUUCCCCCAUUUUUCUUCCAAUUUUUUCUUUUCUCAGGAGUCCCAACCGGUUGGGAGGCUUAGAGCGGCCGAAUUGGAAGCUUAGAUGGAGGCUGUGGUUUUGGACUGGGUAAGUUAUUUUUUUUUCUCUUUUUAUUUCUAUCUUUUCCAGAGAUUUAUGGAAAGGAAAGAACUUGAAGGAAGCCAGAGAGGAAGACCC